CACCGCCGCGGUAAUACGAAGGGGGCUAGCGUUGCUCGGAAUUAUUGGGCGUAAAGGGCUCGCAAGCGGUUUCUUAAGUCUGAUGUGAAAGCCCCCGGCUCAACCGGGGAGGGUCAUUGGAAACUGGGAAACUUGAGUGCAGAAGAGGAGAGUGGGAUUCCACGUGUAGCGGUGAAACGCGUAGAGAUGUGGAGGAACACCAGUGGCGAAGGCGACUCUCUGGUCUGUAACUGACGCUGAGGAGCGAAAGCGUGGGGAGCGAACAGGAUUAGAUACCCGGGUAGUCCCUGUCUCUUAUACC
rnacentral:rRNA from 1 species